AAACGGGGAUGUUCUCAAGGGACUUAUCAACACCACUGCGUAUUUCGCCAUUCAAUAAUUGGCUUUUAGAGGACACGACGAGAGGGAAAGUUCCGCUAACAAGUGCAACUACAGCGGCUGGUGGUGGCUGGCCCGCUCCAGGAGUCUGAUGUGCGGGAGGUUCCUCCACCCCCUCUAGACAUCGGGGGGCCACGGCAUACUCCGUUUGCUCCAUACUGGAUUCGAGGCGUCAGGCGAGGGGCCUUCAGUAUCUCGUGGAGUGGGAGGGGUACGGUCUGGAGGAGAGAUGCUGGGUUCCGGUCGAGGACAUGUUGGACCCUUCAAUGCUGCAGGAGUUCCACCGUCUUCGCCCGGGUCGCCCUGCGCCUCGACCUCCGGGUCGUCCCCGAGGCCGGUGUCAACUCGGGGACUGUCAUGACUUCCGCCGAAGUUGGUCCCUCUCCUUGUUCGGGCGGUGUUCGGCGGUCGAAGUCACCGACCUUCUAGCCAUCGCUGAUCCACUUUUAAUUUUCUAUUGGUUUGUCUUGUCUUCCAUCACACCUGGUUCCAAUUACAUCAAUUACAUGUUGUGUAUUUAACCCUCUGUUCCCCCUCAUGUCCUUGUCUGUAAUUUUUUCUGGUAGUGCUUUUGCAACGGGUAUUUACCGGGUUUUGUUUGACCCAUUUAUUGUGUUGUUCUGUUGACGGUGGUUUAUGGAUAUUUAAGGACACUGUUGUAAAUCAGUUUUCGCUCUCCUGCGCCUGACUUCUCUGCUCUACGCACCUCACUACAACUGGUCCCAUCAUAGCCCUUAUAAAACCAUUUUACAGCUGAAUAAUCACUCAUAACUUUAUAGGGUCCAGAGUUGUCCUGAUUAGGUUAACAGAUAAGGAAAAACUCUGGGUCCCAGGGGAUAAAUUGAAUGUUUCCUUUCCAAGCACUGAGUACCCCUAUCAAUUUUCUCUCAUUACUGUAUGUAGAGUCAAUCACACAUACAUACAAACAAUCACAUUAUUACACAUCAAUGAUUUUACUGCUUGCUUGGACUAACUCCUUCUUAGCUCUUUUGUCUAACUGCAUUGUGUUGUUAUUGUUUUUUGUCUUUCUAGUCAAAUCCUGUCCUGAAGUCAAGCCUCUGAACACCUCAACUCAUGCCUCAUACCCUCAUUCAAUCACUGCUGUGAUCCCUUUCCAACACUGUGUGGCCAUAGCUGUGGAUUCCAGAGUGGAUUCCUGUGUGUUGUGACCAAGAGAACAGAUGCCUUGGGUUCAGUGAAAACAAUUACAGGGUUGCUUACUGUACACACACACACACCAGGCCACUGCAGGGGAGAGGGGACCUGUCCUGCUCCCAGUGUUGUGUGUUUUCAGUCCCACUCCAGACUAAUUCCUCCACAUAGAAACACAGGGAUGUGUGUCUGUGUGCCUGUGUGCUUGAUGAGGUCACCCAGCAGACUGAGCCAGAGGGAAACUGAACAGGCAAACAUGACUGAACAGGACAGGAGGGAGGACCACUCUUUUGCAUCCCAAAUGGCACCCUAUUCCCUUUAUAGUGCACUACUUCUGAACAGGGCCCACACAUAUACAUGCAUCCGUACACACACAAACACACACACACACUCCAGUGAAAAUGACUAUUUAAAACACUAUCCUUACUGGGGAUGUUUAGUGUGAGUGUAUGUGUUGAACAGAUGUUUUUAUACACGGUGCUGAUUUCCUCAACAAGUUGCAGCAUUGCCCUGUACUGCCCCGGGACAGCACGUACCCUUGCCUCCACCCAAAACAACUAGCAGGUACAAAGAAUGUCCAGAUCAGAAUGGGUGGAACAGACAUUCCUUUUCAAAACAAUGUUAUGUACAUGUCAACUCAAAGCAAUAUCACGUUGCAAUGUCACAACAAAUCACCGUUAUAUGAUAGAAGCAUGGCUUGUACGAAGGAGAGAGGGAGAAAGAUACAUAGUUAAAUAGAGAGAAAGGAAGAGAGAAUGUUUAAAAAGAGAAAGAUGAGAGGGAGAGGAAAUAGCUGGAUGUCUGAAGGGACUCAUAAAUCCAGAAAGAGAGGAAUGAGAAAGAUGACUGUUGGACUCCCUGGGGGUUGUGUUUGGAGACUCAGUCGGGGGCUGGAGGAGGUUGUGAAAGACCAGGGGGAAUUAGCAGAGGCAGGUGGAAGCAUAGGAGUCAGAAACAAUAUUUGCUAAAUGUACCGUACGGCAUGAUAAAGCAAUCUGAAUUGGAAUGAAAGUUUGAGGGGCCAGGCUGUUUGGAGUAGUA